UCGGGGUCGGGGUCGUCGUCGUCAUAGUCGGGGUCGGGGUCGGGGUCGUCGUCGUCAUAGUCGGGGUCGGGGUCGAGGUCGUCGUUGUCAUAGUCAGGGUCGGGGUCGGGGUCGUCAAAAAAGGAUCCGGAUUCUGGAUCGGGUUCAGAGUCAAAGUCUGCAUCUGUAGGAGCGGAGCCAUCUGGGCACUCAACUCAAUGAUGGUUGGUGGAGAAUGAGAGAAGGAGUCGGUGGUGCUACCUCUAUGAGGGGUGAAAAAAUCAUCAACCCCCAUAGCAGCGGCGGG
rnacentral:lncRNA from 1 species